AGAUUGAACGCUGGCGGCAUGCUUUACACAUGCAAGUCGAGCGGCAGCGCGGGACUCAGGCAACUGAGCCCUGGCGGCGAGCGGCGAACGGGUGAGUAAUGCAUCGGAACGUGUCCCGUAAUGGGGGAUAACGCCGCGAAAGCGGCGCUAAUACCGCAUACGCUCUACGGAGGAAAGCAGGGGAUCGCAAGACCUUGCGUUAAGGGAGCGGCCGAUGUCCGAUUAGCUAGUUGGUGAGGUAACGGCUCACCAAGGCGACGAUCGGUAGCUGGUCUGAGAGGAUGAUCAGCCACACUGGGACUGAGACACGGCCCAGACUCCUACGGGAGGCAGCAGUGGGGAAUUUUGGACAAUGGGCGGAAGCCUGAUGCAGCGACGCCGCGUGAGGGAUGACGGCCUUCGGGUUGUAAACCUCUUUCAGCAGGGACGAAGCGUGAGUGACGGUACCUGCAGAAGAAGCGCCGGCCAACGUACGUG
rnacentral:rRNA from 1 species